GACGACCGAGCAAACGUGCUAUUGUCGCAAAUAAUUAUUGCAGAUAUCUCUUUUAAGAGGUCAAAGUCGAGGCAACACAAAUCUCGAUAAUAAUUUUAAGAAACGUUUCAUCCUGCUUUAACAAAUAAUUUCAGUAUCAAAUUAAUUCCAUUAUAGAAUAUUGUGCAAUAUGAAGUCUUUGUUGAUCUUUAUAAUGAUCAAAACCGAAAUGAGUGCAUUAAAUAAAGAAAGUGACAAAUUGAAUUAUCGUUUGAGCACAGACGUUGAACCGAUUCGAUAUCUGAUUGAAUUGACGUCUUAUUUCAGUAAUGAUAGUGGCAAUGAGGCGUUCACAUUUGAUGGAUUUGUUCAAAUUACAUUGAAAUCAAGGAAAAAAAGUGUUGAUACGAUCGAACUUCACAAAGAACAGCUAAAUAUUAUUGAUCAAUCUAUCAUUUCUAAAUCAAAUGAUUUCCAUUUGAAUAUCCUGGAGAAUAAAUACGAUAAACAAACAUCCAAAUAUACCAUAAAACUGGCACAAUCGCUCAUUGAAAAUGAAUGGUAUGUGUUGAGUUUCAAUUAUACGGGUAAAUUGAGAACUGAUAUGCACGGCUUCUAUCGUAGCUCAUACCAAGAUGGCAAUGUUACAAAUCUAAGAUGGUUGGCUGCAACACAAAUACAACCGGUUUAUGCAGGAAUGGUAUUUCCAUGCUUCGAUGAGCCUCAAUUCAAGGCAACGUACAGUAUAAGUCCGUUCAACAACGUAGUUGAAUAAGGUGUAUUCGUAGUUCAAACGUAUGCUUUUGACUUUUUAAACCCCGGUUUUACAGUUCAGGUUGUAUUCAUGAAAGCUUUGAAACAACUCCAAAAAUUUCGAGUUAUUUAGUGGCAAUCACAGCAAUUGUACUUUUGCUGCUCGUGAUGAGUUUAACAAUGUUUUGCAAAAAAAUCUGUCGAUAGGAAGUGAUUUGGCGUCGGUCGUCUAUUGCACUUUCAUCGCCAACGGAUCAGAUCAUGAAUGGGAAAUUUUGUGGAACAAGCUUAAAACCGAAAAUGUUGCAUUUGAAAAAUUAGUCAUUCGAAAUGCCUUGGGAUGCUCGAAAAAUAAAAAUUUGAUAGUAAAAUUCUAUGAACUCAUAUUGUCCGACAACAUUCGAUUGCAAGACAAACAUACGGCUUUUGUUUCAACUUUAACACAACAGAUCAUCAACUUUAACACAUCGUCAGAAAUCACACAAAUAUUACGGCAGCUUUGAAAACAGAAGCUGAAAUUUCAAAACUAUUAUCAGGGAUAUUGGAUCGUUUGACGACCAAUGAACAACUUGAUACAAUCAGAAGGUUUAUUGAAGAAAAACAAUUAGAUUCGAAUAAGAUGUUGAAAUCAUCACUUGAAAAUGCUGAGUUUAAUUCCAGUGAUUAAGAACGUACUUAUCGGGUAAGACAAAACUUUUCCGUUAUAAAUGCGUGCAAAAUGUAUUUUAUUGAAAUUCUGGC